rnacentral:rRNA from 1 species
CCUACGGGUGGCAGCAGUGGGGAAUAUUGGACAAUGGGGGCAACCCUGAUCCAGCCAUGCCGCGUGUGUGAAGAAGGCCCUCGGGUUGUAAAGCACUUUCAGUGAGGAAGAACGCCUGGUGGUUAAUACCCAUCAGGAAAGACAUCACUCACAGAAGAAGCACCGGCUAACUCCGUGCCAGCAGCCGCGGUAAUACGGAGGGUGCGAGCGUUAAUCGGAAUUACUGGGCGUAAAGCGCGCGUAGGUGGCUUGAUAAGCCGGUUGUGAAAGCCCCGGGCUCAACCUGGGAACGGCAUCCGGAACUGUCAAGCUAGAGUGCAGGAGAGGAAGGUAGAAUUCCCGGUGUAGCGGUGUAAUGCGUAGAGAUCGGGAGGAAUACCAGUGGCGAAGGCGGCCUUCUGGACUGACACUGACACUGAGGUGCGAAAGCGUGGGUAGCAAACAGGAUUAGAUACCCUAGUAGUC